CUUCGCACGACCCUUGACCUUUCCGGGGCAGGGUUACUUAACUCCGAGGGAGAACAGUGGCGGCAUCCAUAGGAACAUCACACGCACUGGGGACUGCAGUACUGGUGGAUUGGGCUAUGAUCCACCGCACCUGGGGUAGGUGUGAGGGAUAUCUAGUGUGACCGCCCCUAUCGGGUGCAGUCACGUGUACUCUCACGCCAUGAAAUAAUUGUCACCAGACAUGGUGGUCUAUGCAUCUCAGAGAUUGCUUUAAUGGUGUAAAGAUGGUAUGGGUUAAUGAUGUAAAGACCAAAAUAUAUGCAAUGAGUGGACGUUCUGUGGAUGAGAACAAGUUCUUAAAAAUAAGAAGUCAGAGAAAAAUGGCCAGUUUUGUUCAAGCUUAAAGUAAAAUAUUGAAAAAAUGUUGCCAGCUCUGACAAAACUUGAUUUCUUCUGUAGCUUGUUGAUAGCAGUGUUGGAUUUUGCCACAAACAACAUAAAUCAAUGAAUGCAACAUGCCUUGUAGCAACUGUUCAGG